CCCGGGGCAACGCCGCGCCCGGGGCUCGCACGCAUCUCCCUCCCGGGCCCGGCCCGGCCCCGCCGCCGACGGAGAUGCCCCGGCCGCUCGCCGAGCCCCGGCCUCCCCUUCCUCCGCCGCCGCGCUCUCCGGCGGCCUCAGGCCCCACCAGCGACCCUCAGCACGGCCUUUGCAAGAGGUUUAUGCACACGCUUUCAAAGAAUGAGCAGCCGAUAAAAGAUCUGCUAGAGAAGGACAGUCUGCUGCACUGACCUGGCAUGUCACCUGGAACUCUGCUGCAUUCUGGACACAAAUACUUCUGUAAACUAAAACCAGGCAAGACUAACACAUUUUAUUCAAUCAAGCUUUCAUUAGACUCAAUUAUUUUGUUUUCCUUUUGACUAAUUUAUGUGAAUUUAUUAUUACAUCAGUAGCUGCAAUAGGAAAUAGUUCUUGAAUGUCCCAAGGGCAUUUCAUUGUUAUUGGGUCUAUCAGUAUUUGGCGCAAAUGGAAAAACAGUUAAUAAGCAAGCAAAUCAAUUUCUGGGCGCAAUUUACUUAUCAGCCUAUUCUCACGUCACAUGUCCCACAUGUAACUUGAACGACCAGUUUUUCCUUCCAUUAGCAAGUAGAUUAAGAAAAAGGAUCUACCUCCUAGCAAGCACCAGAUAAACCAGAUACUGUACUCCACCUGGAAAUUUUCAAGUUAUACGCAGGGCCUUCACUAGAAUUGCAUUGCUGUUUGUAGCAGCAUUGAAACAAAGUAAAGAUCGCGGCAAACAAUUAAGUAUGGCUUUGUAUCUAA